rnacentral:rRNA from 1 species
AUUGAACGCUGGCGGCGUGCCUAACACAUGCAAGUCGAGCGGUAACAGGUGUAGCAAUACAUGCUGACGAGCGGCGGACGGGUGAGUAACGCUUGGGAAUCUGCCUAUUAGUGGGGGACAACCCGGGGAAACUCGGGCUAAUACCGCAUACGCUCUACGGAGGAAAGCCGGGGACCGCAAGGCCUGGCGCUAAUAGAUGAGCCCAAGUCGGAUUAGCUAGUUGGUAGGGUAACGGCCACCAAGGCUACGAUCCGUAACUGGUCUGAGAGGACGACCAGUCACACCGGAACUGAGACACGGUCCGGACUCCUACGGGAGGCAGCAGUGGGGAAUAUUGGACAAUGGGGGAAACCCUGAUCCAGCGACGCCGCGUGGGUGAAGAAGGCCUGCGGGUUGUAAAGCCCUUUCAGUGGGGAAGAAAAGCCUCGACCUAACACGUCGGGGUCUUGACGUAACCCAUAGAAGAAGCACCGGCUAACUCUGUGCCAGCAGCCG